AUCUGAGGCCUCUCUGUGUUCUGGUACUACUUGUGGCUCUAAAGAUUUUCCUAAAAUCAUAUGGUGCAUGGCACAACCUUUCUGUGCAAGCCUGAGGAUUCUAUCCCACCAAUCCUACCUUGGUGGUCUUCUGUAGCUUGUUCUUGAGGCUCUGGUUAUCUUUCUUCUUGUGGAUAGCCUGCACCUCCUUGCUGCUUCACUCUCUGCUCCCUGGUAUUGAUUUGGUGCAACCCCUAUUUGAUACAUAGUAUCAGGUGUGCUUAACAGGGUUUAACUGCUGGCUAUAGUGUUCUAUUUAUAGACCUACUAUUGGUCUCUUGGCCGCCUGGUACAUCUGGGUGACUCAGCUGUGUGCUGCUUGUGUUGUGGCAAGCUGAGGGCUAUGUGGUCUGUGGAAGUGACAGCAGCUACUGUGUGUUUGUUGUAUGAGCUGCUUGAGCUGUCCAGCUCUCCUUGAUGCUUAUCUAAUAAGCUGCUCUGUGGCUAUAUGGUUGGGACUUGCUCCUGGCGGCUGGGCUUGGACCUUAUUCUCUCUGGAGCUUUAUUUGGUGGCUGAAGAGUACCUUAUUCUCUCUGGAGCUUUAUUUGGUGGUUGAACAGUAGUCUAUUCCUAUUGUCACUUGACAAUGGAAAUGCUACAUUUUAACAAUGACUAUCUCUUUUGUCUUUGAUGUCUAUUUUGCAGGUUGAAGAUUAUCAAGAAGAUAUAAUUAGUUUAGGGAAUAGAUAGUUUAGUCUAGGUCUAUUCCUUCUCAAGCUUAUAUAACUCAAGAAAUGUAACUGUAAUAUCUAAUAAAUAUUUCUUUAUUCCUUUGUAAUAUUACUUUGUACUCCCUCCGUCCCAAAAUAAG
rnacentral:lncRNA from 1 species